AUUGAACGCUGGCGGCAGGCUUAACACAUGCAAGUCGAGCGGAGAUGAGGUGCUUGCAUCUUAUCUUAGCGGCGGACGGGUGAGUAAUGCUUAGGAAUCUGCCUAUUAGUGGGGGACAACAUUCCGAAAGGAAUGCUAAUACCGCAUACGUCCUACGGGAGAAAGCAGGGGAUCUUCGGACCUUGCGCUAAUAGAUGAACCUAAGUCGGAUUAGCUAGUUGGUGGGGUAAAGGCCUACCAAGGCGACGAUCUGUAGCGGGUCUGAGAGGAUGAUCCGCCACACUGGGACUGAGACACGGCCCAGACUCCUACGGGAGGCAGCAGUGGGGAAUAUUGGACAAUGGGGGAAACCCUGAUCCAGCCAUGCCGCGUGUGUGAAGAAGGCCUUAUGGUUGUAAAGCACUUUAAGCGAGGAGGAGGCUACUGAGACUAAUACUCUUGGAUAGUGGACGUUACUCGCAGAAUAAGCACCGGCUAACUCUGUGCCAGCCGCCGCCGUAAUAC
rnacentral:rRNA from 1 species